rnacentral:rRNA from 1 species
UUUCGGUCAACGGAUUAGGCUGCCUAGUGGCGGACGGGUGAGUAACGCGUGAGUAACCUGCCUUUCAGAGGGGGACAACAGUUGGAAACGACUGCUAAUACCGCAUAAUAUAUAUGGACCGCAUGAUCUGUGUAUCAAAGAUUUAUCGCUGAAAGAUGGACUCGCGUCUGAUUAGCUAGUUGGUGAGGUAACGGCCCACCAAGGCGACGAUCAGUAGCCGGACUGAGAGGUUGAACGGCCACAUUGGGACUGAGAUACGGCCCAGACUCC